AAAAAGACAAUCCCUGGGUUUCCGUGUCCAAUUUUAACUGUCCGUCUUAUAUAAAAUGUUUUUAUAAUUAGUAUUUUCAUUGUUGUUAGAUGAUAAAACAUGAUUAAUAUUUUAUGCGUGACUUGUCUUUUUUAAUUUUUUUCAUAAUUUUUGUAAAUAAGACGGAUGUUCAAACGUUGGGCACGGAAACCAGGGUUUGUCUUUUU
rfam:Oryza sativa Japonica Group DNA, chromosome 9, cultivar: Nipponbare, complete sequence.